rnacentral:rRNA from 1 species
CCUACGGGAGGCAGCAGUGAGGAAUAUUGGUCAAUGGGCGCGAGCCUGAACCAGUCAAGUAGCGUGCAGGAUGACUGCCCUACGGGUUGUAAACUUCUUUUAUAAAGGAAUAAAGUGAGGCACGUGUGCCUUUUUGUAUGUACUUUAUGAAUAAUGAUCGGCUAACUCCGUGCCAGCAGCCGCGGUAAUACGGAGGAUCCGAGCGUUAUCCGGAUUUAUUGGGUUUAAAGGGUGCGUAGGUGGAUUGUUAAGUCAGUGGUGAAAGUUUGCGGCUCAACACGAAAAUUGCAAUUGAUACUGGGAGUCUAGAGAACAGAUGCGGUAGGCGGAAUUCGUGGUGUAGCGGUGAAAUGCUUAGAUAUCAUGAAGAACACCGAUUGCGAAGGCAGCUUACUAAACUACAACUGACAUUGAUGCUCGAAAGUGUGGGUAGCAAACAGGAUUAGAUACCCUAGUAGUC